ensembl:lncRNA
CGCUCUUUAUGGCUGGUCGCAAAAAAGGGGGAGCAAACUGGCACGAGCCUGCCGUCGUUGUCAGGGACGGGGUGCAUCUCUGAAAAAAAAUUGGGUAGGCUGUAACAAUAGCAGGAUUCAGUAUUGCUGUACAAUAUUCCAGAGAGCGUCAUAGGAAAUAAACAUGCCCAUGCCGCUCCUUUAUGAAACAUGAUGUGCAUAUGACACAUGGAAUGGCCAAUAUAUUUUUUGUUUGUUUCCUGGAUUACGACGAAGACAGCAGAAUAAAAUGGAGUGGUAGGGGGACCGAGGCUCGCUGUCUCCAUCAUAGGGAGGCGCGUCCACCUGCUGAUACAGGGAGUCCGGGCUUGGGAAAAACAUGGUGAGGUCGCUCCACUGAGAAGAUACAGUUUCCAUCUGUCAAAUAAACAACUGCAAAAUGGAAUGCUGUCGACUAGAAAAGCCCAGCCCGUGUGAACAGAGAGGUUAGAAGAGGGCGAUAAUGUAAGGGACAACAAGAACAACGCUAAAUUGAUGGAUGUUUUUGACGACCCCAACUUUUCUGUGCUGGUUCCAAACCUGGAACAGUUCAACAAAGACAAUGAGAGUGGUAAAACUAAAGAUAUUUCAUGUUUGCUUUUGUUAGAAGGGUAACAGGGCUACUUCUAUAUAAUAAAUGAAUGUAAAAAAGUAAUUCCCCUUCACAAUAUAUCAAAACAUAUGUUUAUAUUACAUUGUUAAAAGUCAGUUUCAAAUGUGUUAAAGCCUUUUCAAAUGUGUUUAACAGAGGGAAUGCUGCUACAUUAUCACAGUACAUGACGUCAUGAUGCUGGAUACAAGAAAGGCACAGUACUCUUAUGUGGAACAAGAUGCUAUGCACACUUUUCACCUCUUCUGCUAUUUAGUUUUGUCUGUGACCUUCACUGAACUGAAAGCCUUGAUAUUUAGUGACCUUAACCUGUGUUACUUCUCAAUCUCACACAUUAUAGAGGUGAUGAUGAAAUGAUGAGUAGUCAUUUUUUCCUGCUUGAAUUAGAUCUUUUAUGUCUGAUCUCUGUAAAUAAUUUGUACUUUGUUAAGCUUGUUGGAAAAACAUAACUUGGACCUUUAUCAACUGUAAGGAAGGAAGAGACAUUCUUCAAGAAGGGAAAUCGUACACAUUAUUAUAUUAAAAUGUAC